CCAGGUUUGGUGGUAUGGGUAGGUUUAAAGGUUGGUUAAGGGUCAACAGUGUACAGGGGUCAGUUUGUUUAUUAUAAGGGAACACUGCUCAAUCUGUUUAUAUUAUAUUGUUUUGAUAAAUGAACAAAUGAAAAAAUUUUUUCCC